UACGAAGGGGGCUAGCGUUGCUCGGAAUCACUGGGCUUAAAGCGUGUGUAGGCGGGUCGUUAAGUACCUUGUGAAAUCCCCCGGCUCAACCGGGGAACGGCUGGGUAUACUGGCGAUCUUGAGCCACCUAGGGGCAGUCGGAACAAGUGGUGGAGCGGUGAAAUGCGUAGAUAUGCGGAGGAACACCGAUGGCGAAGGCAAUCCCCUGGGCCUGCACUGACGCUCAUGCACGAAAGCGUGGGGAGCAAACAGG
rnacentral:rRNA from 1 species